AACGAACGCUGGCGGCAUGCCUAACACAUGCAAGUCGAACGAGAUCUUCGGGUCUAGUGGCGCACGGGUGCGUAGCGCGUGGGAAUCUGCCCUUUGGUUCGGAAUAACAGUUGGAAACGACUGCUAAUACCGGAUGAUGACGAAAGUCCAAAGAUUUAUCGCCCGAGGAUGAGCCCGCGUAGGAUUAGCUAGUUGGUGUGGUAAAGGCGCACCAAGGCGACGAUCCUUAGCUGGUCUGAGAGGAUGAUCAGCCACACUGGGACAGAGACACGGCCCAGACUCCUACGGGAGGCAGCAGUGGGGAAUAUUGGACAAUGGGCGGAAGCCUGAUCCAGCAAUGCCGCGUGAGUGAUGAAGGCCUUAGGGUUGUAAAGCUCUUUUACCCGGGAUGAUAAUGACAGUACCGGGAGAAUAAGCUCCGGCUAACUCCGUGCCAGCCGCCGCGGUAA
rnacentral:rRNA from 1 species